CGCCAGACUCCUACGGGAGGCAGCAGUGGGGGAUAUUGCACAAUGGGGGAAACCCUGAUGCAGCGACGCCGCGUGUGGGAAGACGGUCCUCUGGAUUGUAAACCACUGUCCCCAGGGACGAAGAUGACGGUACCUGGGGAGGAAGCUCCGGCUAACUACGUGCCAGCAGCCGCGGUAAUACGUAGGGAGCGAGCGUUGUCCGGAAUUACUGGGUGUAAAGGGAGCGUAGGCGGGGAUGCAAGUUGGGUGUCAAAUCUACCGGCUCAACUGGUAGUCGCACUCAAAACUGCAGCCCUUGAGUGAAGUAGAGGCAGGCGGAAUUCCUAGUGUAGCGGUGAAAUGCGUAGAUAUUAGGAGGAACACCAGUGGCGAAGGCGGCCUGCUGGGCUUUUACUGACGCUGAGGCUCGAAAGUGUGGGGAGCAAACAGGAUUAGAUACCCCCGUA
rnacentral:rRNA from 1 species